UGGGGAAUCAUGGUCAAUGGGCGAAAGCCUGAACCUGCGACGCCGCGUGAGUGAUGAAGGUCGUAAGAUCGUAAAACUCUUUUCAGGGAUCUUAAAGCACAACCGUCAACAACGGCUGUGUGUGACUCUCCCUGGAAGAAGCCCCAGCCAACUACGUGCCAGCAGCUGCGGUAAUACGUAGGGGGCGAGCGUUAUUCGGAAUUACUGGGUGUAAAGGGUAUGUAGGCGGCCCUUCAAGUCGCGUGUCAAAGUCCAGUGCUCAACGCUGGGUGUGCGCGCGAUACUGACGGGCUUGAGGGCUGGAGAGGUUAGCGGAAUUCCCGGUGUAGUGAUAAAAUACGUAGAGAUCGGGAGGAACACCAGCGGCGAAGGCGUCUUACCAGAACGGACCUGACGGCAAGGGACGAAAGCUAGGGGCACGAACC
rnacentral:rRNA from 1 species